rnacentral:lncRNA from 1 species
GCGCGGCCUUGGCGGGAUUGGAGGCGAGGAAGGUUGGGGGUGCGUGGACGAGGGCGAGGGCGAGGGCGAGGGCGAGGGCUAGAGAAUGAGGGUGAGAGGCGCGACGGACCGUUUCCGCCUCCGCUCUGCCGGCGAGAAAAAAAAAGAACGAGAGAAACGAAGAGGAGAGAGAAAGAGGAAAGAGAAAAAGUAAAAAGGGUAUUUUGGUCAGUUUGCUGAAAAAGUGAACCGAAUCUGCAAAAACGAAAAAGGUGGCCCGGUUUUGCAAAAGCCCAAAAUAAGUGGAUUUUUUAUGCAAAUUGGCCUUUAAUAUUUAUUCUCUGCUACGACAAAAUCAUCAAAAAGUUUUAUCACCAAACACUCUGCUGGAUGUGGCCUUUAUUUCAAGCAGAAGCCAAAAAUAAAGCCAAACAUGCACUAAGGCUCUGUUUGGGAUUGCGGACAGUUUAUUUUAUGUGCAAUAAAAAUAUAUAAUAAAAAAUAUAUUUUAUUUAUUUUCAUAUGUAAUAUUAUAUUGUGUUUAUUAUAAUGAUUACCAGAUAUAUAUAUGAGUGAGGCUACUAUGCUAUCGGAAGCACGGAGCCUUCCAUGCUUCCAGCUCAUUUUCGAUGUUGUGACUUUCGAAUCGUCGAUCAGCUCCGUUAAACUUGAUCUAGAGUAUUUGGAGUACCUAGAAAAUAAAUUUUAUUAUAUUUCGAUAUCAUUUGUCUAGUAAUCGAACGGGCUCAAAAUCAACAAAUUUUAAAGGCCGUAGUGAGCCGUUUGUAAGUUUAACGGUAUAGAAAUAUCCAAAUCACGUGAAAUUUUGAUAGAAAAUUCUUUAUACUAUAUAAAACAAGAUCAAUAUCUUUGAUUUAAAAUUUUAAUGUCAUAUUAUUACAUUUUGUAAGAUUUUUAUUUUCAGCCGUUGAUUUUAAGCCCCUUCAUUCACUAGGCAAAUGAUAUCGUAAAAUCAUAAAAUUUAUUUUCUAGGUACUUCAAAUACUCUAGAUCAAGUUU